UACGAAGGGGGCUAGCGUUGUUCGGAAUUACUGGGCGUAAAGCGCACGUAGGCGGAUAUUUAAGUCAGGGGUGAAAUCCCAGAGCUCAACUCUGGAACUGCCUUUGAUACUGGGUAUCUUGAGUAUGGAAGAGGUAAGUGGAAUUGCGAGUGUAGAGGUGAAAUUCGUAGAUAUUCGCAGGAACACCAGUGGCGAAGGCGGCUUACUGGCCAUAACUGACGCUGAGGUGCGAAAGCGUGGGAGCAACAGG
rnacentral:rRNA from 1 species